rnacentral:rRNA from 1 species
UAGGGAAUCUUCCACAAUGGACGCAAGUCUGAUGGAGCAACGCCGCGUGAGUGAAGAAGGUCUUCGGAUCGUAAAUGCUCUGUUGUUGGUGAAGAAGGAUAGAGGCAGUAACUGGUCUUUAUUUGACGGUAAUCAACCAGAAAGUCACGGCUAACUACGUGCCAGCAGCCGCGGUAAUACGUAGGUGGCAAGCGUUGUCCGGAUUUAUUGGGCGUAAAGCGAGCGCAGGCGGAAUGAUAAGUCUGAUGUGAAAGCCCACGGCUCAACCGUGGAACUGCAUCGGAAACUGUCAUUCUUGAGUGCAGAAGAGGAGAGUGGAACUCCAUGUGUAGCGGUGGAAUGCGUAGAUAUAUGGAAGAACACCAGUGGCGAAGGCGGCUCUCUGGUCUGCAACUGACGCUGAGGCUCGAAAGCAUGGGUAGCGAACAGGAUUAGAUACCCUGGUAGUCCAUGCCGUAAACGAUGAGCGCUAGGUGUUGGGGACUUUCCGGUCCUCAGUGCCGCAGCAAACGCAUUAAGCGCUCCGCCUGGGGAG